CCCAGCAGCAGCUGUUCCAAAGACCCAACGCCCUGGCGGUGCAGCAGCUGACGGCAGCACAGCAGCAGCAAUACGCCCUGGCUGCUGCCCACCAGCCACACAUAGGUUUAGCUCCUGCUGCCUUUGUUCCCAACCCCUACAUCAUCAGCGCGGCUCCCCCGGGGACGGAUCCGUACGCGGCCGGACUGGCGGCAGCUGCCACCUUAGGCCCGGCUGUUGUCCCUCACCAGUACUAUG